rnacentral:rRNA from 1 species
UACAGAGGUCUCAAGCGUUGUUCGGAUUCAUUGGGCGUAAAGGGUGCGUAGGUGGCGCGCUAAGUCAGGUGUGAAAUUUCGGAGCUUAACUCCGAAACUGCAUUUGAUACUGGCGUGCUUGAGGACUGGAGAGGAGACUGGAAUUCAUGGUGUAGCAGUGAAAUGCGUAGAGAUCAUGAGGAAGACCGGUGGCGAAGGCGGCCCCCUGGACCGGAACUGACGCUGAGGCGCGAAAGCGUGGGUAGCAAACGGG